UACGUAGGGUGCAAGCGUUAAUCGGAAUUACUGGGCGUAAAGCGUGCGCAGGCGGUUGUGCAAGACAGAUGUGAAAUCCCCGGGCUCAACCUGGGAAUUGCAUUUGUAACUGCACGGCUAGAGUGUGCCAGAGGGGGGUAGAAUUCCACGUGUAGCAGUGAAAUGCGUAGAGAUGUGGAGGAAUACCGAUGGCGAAGGCAGCCCCCUGGGAUAACACUGACGCUCAUGCACGAAAGCGUGGGGAGCAAACAGG
rnacentral:rRNA from 1 species